rnacentral:rRNA from 1 species
GACGAACGCUGGCGGCGUGCCUAAUACAUGCAAGUAGAACGCUGAAGGAGGAGCUUGCUUCUCUGGAUGAGUUGCGAACGGGUGAGUAACGCGUAGGUAACCUGCCUGGUAGCGGGGGAUAACUAUUGGAAACGAUAGCUAAUACCGCAUAACAGUAGAUAUCGCAUGAUAUCUACUUGAAAGGUGCAAUUGCAUCACUACCAGAUGGACCUGCGUUGUAUUAGCUAGUUGGUGAGGUAACGGCUCACCAAGGCGACGAUACAUAGCCGACCUGAGAGGGUGAUCGGCCACACUGGGACUGAGACACGGCCCAGACUCCUACGGGAGGCAGCAGUAGGGAAUCUUCGGCAAUGGACGGAAGUCUGACCGAGCAACGCCGCGUGAGUGAAGAAGGUUUUCGGAUCGUAAAGCUCUGUUGUAAGAGAAGAACGAGUGUGAGAGUGGAAAGUUCACACUGUGACGGUAUCUUACCAGAAAGGGACGGCUAACUACGCG